rnacentral:lncRNA from 1 species
ACAAAAUGUUUCCACAGAAAGUUGUUCAUUCAUCUAUGCACGUGCCUCUUUGUCCCACUCCUUUUUUCUUUAUUCUCUUCCUUCUCUUUCCGAAAUUGAAUUUUUCUCCCUUUUUUUACUUUUCCCUUAUGCUCUCUUCCCGAAGUUCAAUCCCCUCCCCUUUUCCUUGUUUACCGGGUGCAUAUUUAUAUACACACAUUUGUAAUAUUAUUGUGAUCUUGCCUUAAUGGCGAAUUAAUUGUCAAUUAGCAAAAUAGGGAAAUAAAUGGUCUUGAUUGAAGAAAAAUAAAUCAAAUUAAAAUCAUAUUUUUCUCUUUAGGAAGAAAUUGAAUACAACAAUCAAUAUAUUAUUUUUAAUUAUUUCUUGUAAUGAUUGCCAUAAUGUUGAUUCAAAUUAUUACCAAUUAAAACCAAAUUUUAAAAAAAAAUUCUUAAGUAAUCGAUCAUGCAUUAAUUGCUUAUGAGCAUUUUCCAAGGAAAUCACAUGCAACACUUUUCUCAUUUUAUUCACGUGCACCUCCUUUUUUCUUUUUUCCUUCCUUCCUUUUUUAUUUCUCUUUUUUUCAUUUUUCAUGUUCUUUUUUUCUUUUCUUUUUCCUUUUUUUCCUUUUAAAAAUUUUUUGCUUUUUUUUUAUUCUUUCUUCGUUUCUUUUUUGUAAUUAUUUUUUUUAAAACAAAAUAGUAAAAUAAAAUUAAGAACAACAAAAUAACAUAAAAUAAAAUAAAUAAUAAAAAGGAUGAAAGAAAAUGUAUGAAAUAG